GACCCGCAGAUAGCGCCGAUCGCGGAAGAAGGGCAGCAGGCUUUCGAUGAAGUCGAUGUCGUUUUUGGGAGAAUAUGUCUGUUCGAUCAGUAUCUCGCGCUCGGAUGCGUCCCAUGCCCGCGUCCAGUUUUCAUUCGCCCAGCAAAGGCAGAACUCGAUGUCUGCUUUCUUGUCGGAGAGAAAUUCAUCGACAGGGCGUUCGAGCAGACGGCGGCCACCGAACCAGUAGUAGUGGAAACAGAACGCAUCUAUG
rnacentral:misc_RNA from 1 species